CGGGCGGAGAGGACGUGGAUGCUGCUCGCUGCCGUGGAGGAGAGAUCUACGUAUUCCUGAUAUAUUAAGAAGAAAGAAGGUUUGCAUGUGAAGGGAUUAAGGGAAUGGAGUUACAAGGGGAAGAUAGAAGAGAUUGUGUUGUGACUUAUAAGUUGGAGCCAUUCUACUCAGGUGACUGGGAGUUCAACCGUGACCAAGAGUGUGUCAAGUGAUCUUCUCAAGAGCUUGCUGACCCAGGGUGAUGAGAUGAAGCGACUCGAUUAGGACAAGUCUGAAGCUGAUUUACGUGUCUUCCACCCUGAGAGUUGAGAGAUAAGCUGCAAGUGUUGGCCGUCAUCUCUGCCAUCCUCCUCUCCAACCAUCACUAGUCCACCGCAGAACGAAGAGGCCUUGUAAAGCUAUCCCACAACCUGCCUUACUAAUGUGGGUGUGUGAGCCCCAAAAGAUUUGAGAACAUCUAAUGUGGGUGUGUGAGCCCCAAAAGAUUUGAGAACAUAAGUUAUGAUUCUCCCAGAUGGUGGUGAUGUACAUGUCGCUACCUCGCCUGUAUGGAGGUCAAAAGUGAGAAAGACACCCUCUCUCACCUAACCUUGUAUGUUGUCCAAAGUUUCCUAAACAGUUUUGAGUGGCAGUUUAAAGUCUAUUCUCUACAGAUAAAGUAAAUUUCCCUCGGCUAAUGUCCUUCAGUCUUAUAUUGUCUUAGUGAUUGCUUAAGAUAAAUGAUUCACCGUAAUGUACCUUCAGUCUCUUCUAUAUUAAUCUAUUUAUGUCUUUAAUAUCCCUAACAGUUAUGAGAGGCUGCUAAAAGUAAUGAUUCUUCCUGAUAGAUAAGUGAAUGUCAGUCAGCUGUUCUUCGGUCUCUAAUGUCCUAUACAGUUAUGAGUCAGCUAAAUCUUGAUUCUUCUUGACAGCUCCUGAAGUUCACCGACCAGUCUUCCUUCUCCAUCAGGCUGGCACGUACAUCUUGGAGAAGGCUUGACAUCUCUCGCUCUAUGCUGCUGGUGAAGUUUGAACGGCCUCCGACGCCUGGCAGGUUGUUCUUCCGUCAACUUGCCCACACCUGGAAGAGAAUAUUUCACAGUCUUCCUCCUCCAUGGGCAAGAUUCUUCUCCAUCCGGCCGGCACACACAUCCUGGUGAAGGCUUGAACAUGUUUCUCACUCUGGGAUGCCCUCUGACGCCUGCCAUGUUCUUCCACCAACUCAUCCACACCUGAAAGAGAAGAUUUACAUCAAAGAUCUCGAACUAAAGAUUACUCUGAACUGCUACACUAUCAAGGGUUUGUUCUGCUUUGUAUGGAAGGCUGCUCAAUAAAUACACUGACCCGCACA